UGGGGGGGGGGGGGGGGAUAGCUGAGGGCAGAGUUUAAAGUUCCAGGACCAUCAAUCAGACGAGACAAGUGAGACUAAAAAAGUUAAACUAAAACUAAGGCUCAACUGCCGUUAAGGGCUCAGAAAACAGCUCAGCCCGAGCCUGGAUAUAAACUCAAAGCCUCUUAGCUAGUGGUGAACUGACUAAGCACAGAGCCACUUUUAACAAAGCAGCUAAGGGAGAUAAUAAAAUGUUGUUACAAAAGUAAAAGAAAAAAAUUGCCCCCCCCCCCCCCCCCCCC